AAAUUAAUUCAAAGGGAAAACAGAAUUAUUUUUUCUAACCCCACUGAUGGAUAUUUUUUCUUGUUUAAAAAAAAAAAAAAACACUUUUGGGAUUAAUUGGAACAGCAAUUGCAAGCCAUACUUUAUCGCCCAACUUUACUGAUUCUUUUGUGUUUGAACAGAAGCAAAUCUCCCUUGCCAUGUUCCAACAUUCAGUGGAAAACCACCGUAUCCAAACUUGUAUCCAAAAGCAGAAGCUAUGGUUUUAAGUUAAAAAGGUCUUAAUGGUGGAUUUGUUUUUGACAAAAAUAUGCAGCUUUUCACUGAUGGAGUCGUGUGGAUUAUUGUGAUGUUUCAGCUGUUUGAACUCUGAUGGGACCCAUUCACUGCAGAGGAUCCAUUGGUGAGCAAGUGAUGUUAUGCUAAAUAUAUCCAAAUCUGUCCGAUGAAGUAACAAACUUAAUUUGUAAAUUUUCCUUUUUGCAUGAAGUAUUCCUCAAACCUCAUUGAUGAGACAGAUCAAAAAUCAAUAUUUGAAAAUGUUAAGUGGUUCGACAUUGAAACAUGAAAGUGCUUGCUAAACACUAUAAUUCCCAAACCUGCUGAUACUGACACCUCAACUCGAAAAAAAUAUCACUACAUUAUAGUUGAUGCUGAAAUGCAUAUUUAAUGAAUCUCAAUACACAGUCGGGUACAAAGGUUUAGCGUGAACUUCCAUGUACACUAGACUUAUCACAUCCAAAACAAGAAUUUGCAAUUCAUUUACAAAAUGUAAUAAGGGCAGAAACAGCAAAAUGAACAAGAAAUAUUCAAAGUGUGUUUCGGAAACCCAUUUAGCAGAUGAUUUUUAUCAAAAGUGAUAUAAUGUAGAUUAAUUGCUGCAAUCUGGGAUUAAUUUCCAUACUCAAGUGCACAGUGUUAUUACAUUGUAAAUGUGAUCAGAGAUCUCGAAUCACCUCUGCUUGAAUGGGACUGAACUAUACAUUUGGCAAAAACAACUCAUAUUAACCACACACAAUAUAUUCAGUUUAGGUAAAAACAGCAGCUUUCAAAUCACUAAGAAAAAACGUAGUUCUACAAACAUACUUCA
ensembl:lncRNA